CUACGUGCCAGCAGCCGCGGUAAUACGGAAGGUCCAGGCGUUAUCCGGAUUUAUUGGGUUUAAAGGGUGCGUAGGCCGUUUGAUAAGCGUGCUGUGAAAUAUAGUGGCUCAACCUCUAUCGUGCAGCGCGAACUGUUGAACUUGAGUGCGUAGUAGGUAGGCGGAAUUCGUGGUGUAGCGGUGAAAUGCUUAGAUAUCACGAAGAACUCCGAUUGCGAAGGCAGCUUACCGUAACGUUACUGACGCUUAAGCACGAAGGUGCGGGUAUCGAACAGGAUUAGAUACCCUGGUAGUCCGCACAGUAAACGAUGGAUGCUCGCUGUUGGCCUUUGUGGUCAGUGGCUUAGCGAAAGCGUUAAGCAUCCCACCUGGGGAGUACGCCGGCAACGGUGAAACUCAAAGGAAUUGACGGGGGCCCGCACAAGCGGUGGAGCAUGUGGUUUAAUUCGAAGCAACGCGAAGAACCUUACCAGGUCUUGACAUCCCUCUGACCGCUCUAGAGAUAGAGCUUUC
rnacentral:rRNA from 1 species